UACGAAUGGUGCUAACGUUGUUCGGAAUCACUGGGCUUAAAGCGCACGUAGGCGGCUUGGCCAGUCAGGUGUGAAAUCCCUCAGCUCAACUGAGGAAUUGUGCUUGAUACUACCAGGCUUGAGUAAGGUAGGGGGGCGUGGAACUUCGGGUGGAGCGGUGAAAUGCGUAGAUAUCCGAAGGAACGCCGGUGGUGAAAACGGCGCCCUGGGCCUUUACUGACGCUGAGGUGCGAAAGCUAGGGGAGCGAACGGG
rnacentral:rRNA from 1 species